rnacentral:misc_RNA from 1 species
UUGUGGAGGAGGACGCCGAAGGUGGGGCUAAUGACUGGGGUGAAGUCGUAACAAGGUAGCCGUACCGGAAGGUGCGGCUGGAUCACCUCCUAACAGGGAGACAACAAAAUGUUAAAUAUUAAUUUUGUCACCUUAGGUCGAUCGGUAUCUCAGAUUCUUCAAUAUUUAAUGAAGAAUUUCAGUUUCUAAGUUUUUUCUAGGUCACACCCAUUACUUUUUCCUGGGCCAUUAGCUCAGGUGGUUAGAGCGCACCCCUGAUAAGGGUGAGGUCCCUGGUUCAAGUCCAGGAUGGCCCAUAUCUCUAUGUUGGGGGUAUAGCUCAGUUGGUAGAGCGCCUGCUUUGCAAGCAGGAUGUCAGCGGUUCGAGUCCGCUUACCUCCACUGAAUACCACCUCUUUAGAUAAAUAAAUUAGGGAAAUUGUUUUGAGAUGUGUCCUUAUCACUCUGUUUGAAUCUAGCUUCCUAAUAGAUCCUAAAUCCAUUAAGAUGCUGGACUCAUUGAAUUUUUAUUCUUUGUUUUCAGAGAACCUUGACAACUGCAUAGAUUAUUUUUAAAGACAAUAAGCAUCUUUAAUGAUGCAGAUUUUUAUUUGUGCUAUAUGCAUUAAUAACAAUUCUAUUGAGCUGAUGCUUCAAUUUUGAAGUUAUUGGUCAAGCUACAA